rnacentral:rRNA from 1 species
AUUGAACGCUGGCGGCAUGCUUUACACAUGCAAGUCGAACGGCAGCGCGGACUUCGGUCUGGCGGCGAGUGGCGAACGGGUGAGUAAUAUAUCGGAACGUACCCAAGAGUGGGGAUAACGUAGCGAAGUUACGCUAAUACCGCAUACGAUCUAAGGAUGAAAGCAGGGGAUCGCAAGACCUUGUGCUCCUGGAGCGGCCGAUAUCUGAUUAGCUAGUGGUGAGGUAAAGGCUCACCAAGGCAACGAUCAGUAGCUGGUCUGAGAGGACGACCAGCCACACUGGAACUGAGACACGGUCCAGACUCCUACGGGAGGCAGCAGUGGGGAAUAUUAGGACAAUGGGCGC